UCCUAGUCGCGGGCAUACAGCAAAAGGCAGCGUGUGUGUAACCCGCUAGUCCCCUCCUGUCCUGUCCUGUCCUGUCCCACGCGGGAACCAACUCCGGGAGCACAAGGGGAAGGGAUGGGGGAGGAAACAGCGUCUCGUCCCGAGACAGGGGCAGUCUGCGGGCCCAGGGCAGGGCUACAGGCGAGAAAGGAAACACGGCCUAGCUGCUUCCCAGAGACUGCCCAGUGGUUUCAACAAGCCUUCUCCUGGACUGUCCCUUGAGCACAUUUAUUCCAGGCUCCCACUUCAUUUCUUCAGUGACAGGGCAGCAGCAGCAAACAUGCAGGCUCCGUAAAGGCCUCCCAAACCAGUCCCUCCUUACUCACAACAGCAAAAGAAACACAGAUCUAGACAAACAAAUAGAUAGGCGUUUUCCUGCCUCAGGUCCCUCAUCACUCAGCACCUCACACAGAGGUGAGAGGCUCCAUACCAGCUAUGAACCGCCUGCCCAGAGGAGUUUUCCAUCUAUUGACUCCUCUGGGAAAUCCUAUGAAAUAUGAACUUUCAUUUCUACCCAGGAGAACUUUACAAUCUUUUCUCCAAUGCCUGAUGAAGGGUGCUCGUGCCUGAAAGCUUCCAAUUAAAGACAUCUUUUUGUAAAAAUGUUGUUGGUCUCAUAAAACACAUCAUCUCUA